UACGUAGGGGGCAAGCAUUAUCCGGAUUUAUUGGGCAUAAAGGGCGCGUAGGUGGUCUUUUAAGUCAGAUGUAAAAUCCUUCAGCUCAACUGAAGUAUGCAUUUGAAACUGAUUGACUAGAGAUCAGGAGAGGAAAGCGGAACUCACGGUGUAGCGGUGAAAUGCGUAGAUAUCGUGAGGAACACCAGUUGCGAAGGCGGCUUUCUGGCCUGAUUCUGACACUGAGGCGCGAAAGCGUGGGGAGCAAACGGG
rnacentral:rRNA from 1 species